rnacentral:rRNA from 1 species
UACGUAGGGUGCGAGCGUUGUCCGGAAUUAUUGGGCGUAAAGAGCUCGUAGGCGGUCUGUCGCGUCUGCUGUGAAAACUCGGGGCUUAACCCCGGGCCUGCAGUGGGUACGGGCAGACUAGAGUGCGGUAGGGGAGACUGGAAUUCCUGGUGUAGCGGUGAAAUGCGCAGAUAUCAGGAGGAACACCGGUGGCGAAGGCGGGUCUCUGGGCCGUAACUGACGCUGAGGAGCGAAAGCAUGGGGAGCGAACAGG